rnacentral:rRNA from 1 species
GACGAACGCUGGCGGCGUGCUUAACACAUGCAAGUCGAGCGGAAAGGCCCUUCGGGGUACUCGAGCGGCGAACGGGUGAGUAACACGUGAGUAACCUGCCCCAGACUUUGGGAUAACCCUCGGAAACGGGGGCUAAUACCGGAUACGACACAGCUUCGCAUGGGGUCUGUGUGGAAAGUUUUUCGGUUUGGGAUGGGCUCGCGGCCUAUCAGCUUGUUGGUGGGGUGAUGGCCUACCAAGGCGACGACGGGUAGCCGGCCUGAGAGGGCGACCGGCCACACUGGGACUUAGACACGGCCCAGACUCCUACGGGAGGCAGCAGUGGGGAAUAUUGCACAAUGGGCGGAAGCCUGAUGCAGCGACGCCGCGUGAGGGAUGACGGCCUUCGGGUUGUAAACCUCUUUCAGCAGGGACGAAGCGUAAGUGACGGUACCUGCAGAAGAAGCGCCGGCCAACUACGUG